rnacentral:rRNA from 1 species
GACGAACGCUGGCGGCGUGGAUUAGGCAUGCAAGUCGAACGGUAUCAUCCUUUCGGGGGUGAGAGAGUGGCGAACUGGUGAGUAACACGUAGGUUAUCUACCCUCAAGACGGGGACAACCCAGGGAAACUUGGGCUAAUACCGGAUGUGAGCAACUUUUAGUUGUUUGAAAGGUGGCGUAAGCUGUCGCUUGGGGAUGAGCCUGCGUCCUAUUAGUUAGUUGGUGAGGUAACGGCUCACCUAGGCAAUGAUAGGUAGGCGGCCUUAACGGGUGGUCGCCCACACUGGGAUUGAGAUACGGCCCAGACUCCUACGGGAGGCAGCAGUCGAGAAUAGUCUACAAUGGUCGGAAGACUGAUAGUGCGACGCCGCGUGAACGAUGAAUCCCUUCGGGGUGUAAAGUUCUUUUAUAUGUGAGCAGUGCUUCUUAUAUUAACAGUAUGGGGAGAGAGAUAUUAGCAUAUGAAUAAGCAACGGCUAACUCCGUGCCAGCAGCCGCGGUAAA